GGCCCUGCUGGGGUUGUGAGCUCCAGCUGGUCUGUACUGGGUUCAGGAUCAGGUGGGUUGGCUGGUGGAUAAAGUUAGAUCAUGGUCGCCAAACCAAACGGUGGUUCUGGUGCUGUGGGGAGUCCUCCGGGUCGACUUUAGGCUGUGUUACUCUGAUAAAACAACAGCAGCAGGUGACAUGUCCCCAAAUCAUCACAGACGGAGGACACUUCACUUGGACCUCCAGGACAUGGAUUCUGGGCCUCUCCACUCCUCCGCUCUGAAAGUGUGUCCAAAAAUGAGCCCAGAGCCAGGAGUUAAUCAUCGCCGCCGACACCUCUCUGUUUGUCUUGGAGCUGAGCGGACCGAGGGUUUUCCUGGACCCGCUAAGAAAUGACUCCUAAAUGAUGAGAGAUAUCAGAAACUCUGCAGCUGAUCUACUUCUGCAGACUCAUGAUUCUGUCAAACACCAGAGUGGAAGCUUUUUCACGGCCCAAACUUUGACCUAUGAUAAAGUUCUUGACUAUGAAUUCAUGAUUAUGAGUUCAUGAUAAAAUCUGAUUUUAUCUCUUUGUCAGUUUGAUUCCUGCCAUCGCACUUAUCCCUGAACUGUGCCGGUGUUGUGGUGGAAGUACUAAAGCCGUGGUCAUGUCCAAAGAUUUCCAGUCCAAUCGUUAAAGGAUAAGGUUGUCUUCGCUGAAAUGUCCUCGGUCUGAGAUCUGACUGUGAGCACCGGAGCUGUUUCAACAGAGGAAC